CCUACGGGUGACAGCAGUGAGGAAUAUUGGUCAAUGGCCUGACGGCUGAACCAGCCAAGCCGCGUGAAGGACGAAUGUGCCAAGCAUUGUAAACUUCUUUUGUCAAGGGGCAAAAUCAGGCUCGAGAGCCUGACCGAGGGUACUUGAAGAAAAAGCAUCGGCUAACUCCGUGCCAGCAGCCGCGGUAAUACGGAGGAUGCGAACGUUAACCGGAUUUACUGGGGUUAAAGGGGGCGCAGACGGCGAUGCAAGCCAGGCGUGAAAGCCCGGGGCCCAACCCCGGGACUGCCGUUGGAACUGGGUGGCUGGAGUGCAGGAGGGGUAGGCGGAAUUCCUGGUGUAGCGGUGAAAUGCGUAGAUAUCAGGAGGAACACCGGUGGCGAAGGCGGCCUGCUGGACUGCAACUGACGUUGAGGCCCGAAAGCGUGGGGAGCAAACAGGAUUAGAUACCCUUGUAGUC
rnacentral:rRNA from 1 species